GACGAACGCUGGCGGCGUGCUUAACACAUGCAAGUCGAACGGAAAGGCCCUGCUUUUGUGGGGUGCUCGAGUGGCGAACGGGUGAGUUACACGUGAGUAACCUGCCCUUUACUUUGGGAUAACUUCAGGAAACUGUGGCUAAUACCGGAUAGGAGCUCCUGCUGCAUGGUGGGGGUUGGAAAGUUUCGGCGGUUGGGGAUGGACUCGCGGCUUAUCAGCUUGUUGGUGGGGUAGUGGCUUACCAAGGCUUUGACGGGUAGCCGGCCUGAGAGGGUGACCGGCCACAUUGGGACUGAGAUACGGCCCAGACGCCAACGGGAGGCAGCGGUGGGGAAUAUUGCACAAUGGGCGGAAGCCUGAUGCAGCAACGCCGCGUGCGGGAUGAGGGCCUGCGGGUUGUAAACCGCUUUCGCCUGAGACGAAGCGUGAAUGACGGUAAUGGGUAAAGAAGCACCGGCUAACUACGUG
rnacentral:rRNA from 1 species